CCUACGGGAGGCAGCAGUGGGGAAUUUUGGACAAUGGGCGCAAGCCUGAUCCAGCAAUGCCGCGUGCAGGAUGAAGGCCUUCGGGUUGUAAACUGCUUUUGUACGGAACGAAACGGUGAGCUCUAAUACAGUUUGCUAAUGACGGUACCGUAAGAAUAAGCACCGGCUAACUACGUGCCAGCAGCCGCGGUAAUACGUAGGGUGCGAGCGUUAAUCGGAAUUACUGGGCGUAAAGCGUGCGCAGGCGGUGAUGUAAGACAGAUGUGAAAUGCCCGGGCUCAACCUGGGACCUGCAUUUGUGACUGCAUCGCUAGAGUACGGUAGAGGGGGAUGGAAUUCCGCGUGUAGCAGUGAAAUGCGUAGAUAUGCGGAGGAACACCGAUGGCGAAGGCAAUCCCCUGGACCUGUACUGACGCUCAUGCACGAAAGCGUGGGGAGCAAACAGGAUUAGAUACCCUGGUAGUCCACGCCCUAAACGAUGUCAACUGGUUGUUGGGUCUUCACUGACUCAGUAACGAAGCUAACGCGUGAAGUUGACCGCCUUGGGGAGUUACGGGCCGCGAAGGUUGAAACGUCAAAGGGAAUUGACGGCGNGAGAGNGCGACGGACGACGACGAGGGAGGUAGG
rnacentral:rRNA from 1 species